UUCCUGCUCCUCUCCUAGAAGCCCCUGCCGCCCACCCAGCUGGCCCUGUGGAUGGGAUCCUCUCUGACCUCCUUGAGCCAUCCCUUGGGGGAGGCUGGGAGAAGAUAUAGGGCAGACACUGGACCUGGCCCACUGGCGCACCUGGGCCCCACUGGACAACACUGGUACCUGGAGAGAAGGCUGCUGCCCCCAGCCUCUCUCUCUCCGUCACACACUGGACCCCACUGGCUGAGAAUCUGGGAAGUGAGGAGGACAAGAAAGAGAGAAGGGGGUUCCCUUGUAUCUCCUCCUGGAAUUGCCCUCAGCUUUGGCCUUUCCCUCCUCCAUUCUCUGAAACACUGGACUUGGGGGUGAUCCCUACCCCCACCCUUCCGCCUCCCCACCUCCCACCUGCCGUGUUGUAGCUAGAACUUCUCCAAGCCUGUAUGUUUCUGUGGAAUAAGUAUUGGGAUUAGGGGGGAAACUGCAAUGGCCUGUGGCCCUGGGGUUGGACAUCUCUAUCGUAGCUGCCACGUUGGUUUUUCUAUAAUCACUGGGGUUUGUACAUUUUUGGGGGGGAGAGACACA
rnacentral:lncRNA from 1 species